CACGUAGGGCGCAAGCGUUGUCCGGAAUUAUUGGGCGUAAAGAGCUCGUAGGUGGUUUGUUACGUCUGCUGUGAAAACCUAGGGCUUAACCCUGGGCUUGCAGUGGAUACGGGCAGACUAGAGGUAGGUAGGGGAGAAUGGAAUUCCUGGUGUAGCGGUGAAAUGCGCAGAUAUCAGGAGGAACACCGGUGGCGAAGGCGGUUCUCUGGGCCUUACCUGACACUGAGGAGCGAAAACGUGGGGAGCGAACAGG
rnacentral:rRNA from 1 species